UACGGGGGGUGCAAGCGUUGUUCGGAAUUACUGGGCGUAAAGGGCUCGUAGGCGGCCAACUAAGUCAGACGUGAAAUCCCUCGGCUUAACCGGGGAACUGCGUCGGAUACUGGAUGGCUUGAGAUUGGGAGAGGGAUGCGGAAUUCCAGGUGUAGCGGUGAAAUGCGUAGAUAUCUGGAGGAACACCGGUGGCGAAGGCGGCAUGCUGGACCAACACUGACGCUGAGGAGCGAAAGCCAGGGGAGCAAACGGG
rnacentral:rRNA from 1 species